CACGGGGGGAGCAAGCGUUGUUCGGAAUCACUGGGCGUAAAGGGCGUGUAGGCGGUCAAGUAAGUGGAAUGUGAAACGCCUCGGCUUACCCGAGGACCUGCAUCCCAAACUGCUUGGCUUGAGUAUGGGAGAGGAUGAGGGAAUUCCUGGUGUAGCGGUGAAAUGCGUAGAUAUCAGGAGGAACACCGGUGGCGAAAGCGCUCAUCUGGCCCAAUACUGACGCUGAGGUGCGAAAGCGUGGGGAGCAAACAGG
rnacentral:rRNA from 1 species